rnacentral:rRNA from 1 species
AACGCUGGCGGCGUGCUUAACACACGCAAGUCCGAAACGAUGAAGCCUAGCUUCGCUAGGCGGAAUAGCGGCGAAACGGGCGAGUAAUACGUCGAGCGACCUACCUUCGACUCUGGGAUAAAGCCCCGGGAAACCGGGUCUAAUACCGGAUACGACCAAUCUCCGCACGGGGUCGUUCGGUGGAAAGCGUUAUGGAGUGGUUUUAGAUGGGCUCACGGCCUAUCAGCUUGUUGGUGAGGUAAUGGCUUACCAAGGCGACGACGGGUAGCCGGCCUGAGAGGGUGACCGGCCACACUGGGACUGAGACACGGCCCAGACUCCUACGGGAGGCAGCAGUGGGGAAUAUUGCACAAUGGGCGCAAGCCUGAUGCAGCGACGCCGCGUGAGGGAUGACGGCCUUCGGGUUGUAAACCUCUGUUAGCAUCGAAGAAGCGAAAGUGACGGUAGGUGCAGAGAAAGCGCCGGCUAACUACGUGCCAGCAGCCGCGGUAAUACGUAGGGCGCGAGCGUUGUCCGGAAUUAUUGGGCGUAAAGAGCUUGUAGGGCGGUUGGUCGCGUCUGCUGUGAAAGGCUGGGGCUUAACCCUGGUUUUGCAGUGGGUACGGGCUAACUAGAGUGCAGUAGGGGAGACUGGAAUUCCUGGUGUAGCGGUGGAAUGCGCAGAUAUCAGGAGGAACACCGAUGGCGAAGGCAGGUCUCUGGGCUGUAACUGACGCUGAGAAGCGAAAGCAUGGGGAGCGAACAGGAUUAGAUACCCUGGUAGUCCAUGCCGUAAACGUUGGGCACUAGGUGUGGGGGACAUUCCACGUUUUCCGCGCCGUAGCUAACGCAUUAAGUGCCCCGCCUGGGGAGUACGGCCGCAAGGCUAAAACUCAAAGAAAUUGACGGGGGCCCGCACAAGCGGCGGAGCAUGCGGAUUAAUUCGAUGCAACGCGAAGAACCUUACCAAGGCUUGACAUAUACUGGACUGCGUCAGAGAUGGCGUUUCCCUUCGGGGCUGGUAUACAGGUGGUGCAUGGUUGUCGUCAGCUCGUGUCGUGAGAUGUUGGGUUAAGUCCCGCAACGAGCGCAACCCUCGUUCUAUGUUGCCAGCACGUGAUGGUGGGGACUCAUAGGAGACUGCCGGGGUCAACUCGGAGGAAGGUGGGGAUGACGUCAAAUCAUCAUGCCCCUUAUGUCUUGGGCUUCACGCAUGCUACAAUGGCCGGUACAGAGGGUUGCGAUACUGUGAGGUGGAGCUAAUCCCUAAAAGCCGGUCUCAGUUCGGAUUGGGGUCUGCAACUCGACCCCAUGAAGUCGGAGUCGCUAGUAAUCGCAGAUCAGCAACGCUGCGGUGAAUACGUUCCCGGGCCUUGUACACACCGCCCGUC